rnacentral:lncRNA from 1 species
UUCCAUCUAACCAAAUCCACUCGGUGCUUAGCCAACAUUCCCAUAGAAUAGUUCGUUACCUUGACAUUAUCACAUAUGAGAGGUGCCAUUGGCCUACCAACUCCAAAUUACAUUCAUUAACACGUGAAAGGGUGCUUUAAGCCUACCGUUUCAAGGUUCAUUUAGGAAAGCUCAUUAACUCCUCUUGAAAGGGUGCCAUGGGCCUACCGAUUCAAGUCUCAUCA